GAAGUGGUGGAUGAUCUCACAUGGCAUCUUCAAAUUUAGCUCGAAGAAUGAGGAUCCUUUCUCUCAUCGAACACACAUUCGAGUUCUGACUUAAAUACUUCGGAAGGGUACUUUGAGGUCUUCAAGAAUACUCAUUGGAGUGAAUCACGUGGAUAGACAACUAAGAGAGCAAAUAUUAUACUCGUGAUGCUCGUUUAAGUAACUACCAGAAGGGUCAACAACAGGAGCUUAUACAAAAGCUACUUCAGCAGACAAAUCCGCCAUCAAAUUAUCUUGGACCUUCCGUCUCAAGAAGAGAAUAUCCUUCA